UGGUGCUUCCGCUCGAGGAGGGGUUNAAGUCCUAUCAGCUUGUUGGUGAGGUAACGGCUCACCAAGGGCGAUGACGGGUAGCCGGACUGAGAGGUUGGCCGGCCACAUGGGAACUGAGACACUGUCCUGACUCCUACGGGAGGCUGCAGUCGAGAAUCUUCUGCAAUGGGCGAAAGCCUGACAGAGCGACGCCGCGUGGAGGAUGAAGGCCCUCGGGUCGUAAACUCCUGUCACAUGUUAUGAAACGCACAGGUCUACCUGUGCGCUGACAAAAGCAUGAGAGGAAGUCACGGCUAACUUCGUG
rnacentral:rRNA from 1 species